UUUUAUUCAGUGUGGGGCUUUGGUAAAGAAUUUUCAUUGCUUUUACAGAGCCAAGGAAAUAGAUACCAAGCUUCAAGCAAAGUUUCAAGCAAGAAUCCUGACGCUGGCUGAUUUGUGAAGACUUCCAGCCUGUGAGGCAAAUAUUUUUGAAGAUGAGAUAAAUCCAGAGAUUACUGCAUGGCAGUUCAGAGGUGAAGCUCAUGAAGACCAGAGACUAAGAAGGUA